rnacentral:rRNA from 1 species
UACGGAGGCGGCUAGCGUUGUUCGGAAUUACUGGGCGUAAAGCGCACGUAGGCGGACUGGAAAGUCAGAGGUGAAAUCCCAGGGCUCAACCUUGGAACUGCCUUUGAAACUCCCGGUCUUGAGGUCGAGAGAGGUGAGUGGAAUUCCGAGUGUAGAGGUGAAAUUCGUAGAUAUUCGGAGGAACACCAGUGGCGAAGGCGGCUCACUGGCUCGAUACUGACGCUGAGGUGCGAAAGCGUGGGGAGCAAACAGG